GAUGAACGCUGGCGGCGUGCCUAAUACAUGCAAGUCGAGCGAACAGACGAGGAGCUUGCUCCUCUGACGUUAGCGGCGGACGGGUGAGUAACACGUGGAUAACCUACCUAUAAGACUGGGAUAACUUCGGGAAACCGGAGCUAAUACCGGAAAAUAUAUUGAACCGCAUGGUGCAAUAGUGAAAGACGGUUUUGCUGUCACUUAUAGAUGGAUCCGCGCCGCAUUAGCUAGUUGGUAAGGUAACGGCUUACCAAGGCAACGAUGCGUAGCCGACCUGAGAGGGUGAUCGGCCACACUGGAACUGGGCCACGGUCCAGACUCCUACGGGAGGCAGCAGUAGGGAAUCUUCCGCAAUGGGCGAAAGCCUGACGGAGCAACGCCGCGUGAGUGAUGAAGGUCUUCGGAUCGUAAAACUCUGUUAUUAGGGAAGAACAAAUGUGUAAGUAACUAUGCACGUCUUGACGGUACCUAAUCAGAAAGCCCCGGCUAACUACGUG
rnacentral:rRNA from 1 species